GCCUGAGGAGAGGUUUCUUGUGCUUUUACCAGUGCUUUUUCAGUACUGAAAAGGGGGUGAAAGCACAAGAAACCUCUCCUCAGGC